rnacentral:lncRNA from 1 species
AUACAGGUGCUUCGUCGGUGGGCUAGCAUGGGCUACCACCGACCAAACACUUGGGGAUGCUUUUUCUCAGUACGGUGAAAUUGUCGACUCGAAGGUCUGUUGGAAAACAGAGCAGAGAUCGGAUUCGAGCCGAUUUGAAUCGGCUUCGUUGACCCUCUGUUACUGGAAAAAUUGAUCUGUUACUACUCUCUCUGUUACUGUUACUGUUACUGUUACUACUCUCUGGUUUAUCUGUUACUGUUACUAUUUGUUACUGUUAUUCCACUUUCCCCGAAACGGUACGUUCCGUCUUCCUCUGUUUAUACAAGAGAUGAAGAUAGAUCGCUUUUAAUGUUUCUCCCCUAUUUUUUUUGAUUUUUGAUUUUAUGGUUUUACCUUUUUUGGAUUUUAUGUUGUAGAUCUGGUUAGAUCUGAUGUUUUUUUUUUUUUUAUGAUUUGGACUUUUUCAGAUUAUCAAUGACAGAGAAACUGGUAGAUCUAGAGGAUUUGGAUUUGUUACCUUCAAGGAUGAGCAAGCUAUGAGGGACGCUAUUGAAG